AGACCCGCCCGGAUGACAUCAUCGGGUCCGGUUUACAUUCUUCUGUGGGGCCUUGGACCCGUCGCUUUCGGGUCCACGGUGAAAGCCCACUGGCCGCCUCAACCACCUUCCUUGCUUGCUUCCUUCUCUUUUUCACCAUAUAAGCUUCCUCCCCCCGCCACUCCCUCUUCUCUUUGUAUCCCCUUAACACAAUCAUCCUCUUCCAUUCUCUCUCUCUCUCUCUCUCUCAAGACCCUCUAAUCAUGAAACCAAAAGAUAGCUUCAUCCAUAAAGGUCCCUGUAAGGGCGCCUUCACCAUGCAUAUGUCUGGCCCUCUCAGAAUUGUGAACAAUUGCCUUAGCCAGAAGGAACCUUUCCUUGGAGCUGAUGCUGCUGAUGUUGAUGAUGAUGGUGUUUCUUCCUCUGGAGUGUUACUUCUGGAAGAUAUUCCAUUGUUCUUCUGAUCUGGUGCUAUCCUGCCUGAGCUUUUUACUUACUCGUUAUACUCUCUUCUUCAUCUAAGUUUUGCCCCCCAUUUUUUCCAUCUUUUCUUUGUUGUUGUGUUUCUUAUUUGAGUCUUCUUGACCUUGUAAGACCUUUUCUUGACCUUGUAAGACCCCGUGUCGAGUCCGCAGUCUUUGUUCUCACUUCUGUGAAAGACUCUAUGUCAAAUCUGCUGAUAUAGAGUUUGAUCCCUCUGUUUCCCCUUUUCCGCCCAACUCAUCUUCUCCUUCCUUGUCUAUCCCUCCUGAGCUGUUUCAGUUUUUGGCCAAGCAUGCAACAAUUCCUAUUCAUAUGAUAUGACACACACACACACACACACACAAAACCCACAAGGGAAAAAGAAAAGGGCCUUAAAACCUCUCUAAAAGGGCUUCUUGAAAUGUGGAAGCAACGCAGAUGAAGCUUGACUUGAAGUAGACUUCAGGGCCUGGUUUACUUUUAUGGUUAGUAUUGAUGUGAAGUGUGUAAAAAUGUUGGUGGUCCUCGAUGGUGUAGUGAGAGGAGGACCAGAUCAAGAGUAAUACUUGUUAAGAAAGAUGGGGAUGUUGUGUAAGGAUGUGUGUGUGUGUGUGUGUGGGGUGUGUUGUAUUCAGGGUUGAAAAGCCAAGUGUAUGAAGUUAUUCUCUUAAGGCAAUCAGUUUUCGCUUUUGUAUCA